CUUAUAAAAAGGCAAAAUUUUCCAAUGGGUCUCAGUUUCGAUCUACUCUUUCAGCCGUAAAAGAAGGAAAUUUGUAGCCAUGAAGCUGGCUACCAACUUUUUAAUAGUGGGCUUGCUCCUUAUGGGACAUGCCGAUCCUAGUGCCUCAGUUCCGUCUUGUGGAUGUCCACCACCAACAACACCACGUUGUCCACCAACAACAACACCUCCUUGCCCACCACCAACAACA